UAUUUGACAACAUUUCAAAGGCAUGUUCAAGUAAAACUUUCAAGCCUGAGCAAUCUACUCAAGUAGACAAAUUGGUUGAGAAGUUGUUAGAACAAGAUAGUGAUCUGCAGGAAACAUUACAAAAAGCAAUAAAGCAACUUGAACAGCACAAAUUAGUGAAACAGUUGCAAGAAGAAAUAAAGAAAAAAGACCAAGAGCUUUCACUGUUUCAUAGCCAAUUAAAGGAAGCUGAAAAUAUUUUAGCUACUGCUCUUCAUCAAGCAAAGAAAAAGCUGCUAACAGCAGAGCAAGCCAAGAGUU
rnacentral:lncRNA from 1 species